UACGUAAGGUGCAAGCGUUAUCCGGAAUCAUUGGGCGUAAAGCGUCCGCAGGGGGUGUGGAAAGUUUGCUAUUAAAUAUCAUGGCUCAACCAUGGUGCCGUAGCAAAAACUAUCACACUAGAGGAUAUCAGAGGUAAGUGGAAUGUUGCAAGUAGGGGUAAAAUCCGUAGAUAUGCAAUGGAACGCCAAAAGCGAAGGCAACUUACUGGGAUACUCCUGACCCUCAGGGACGAAAGCGUGGGUAGCAAAACGG
rnacentral:rRNA from 1 species